rnacentral:rRNA from 1 species
UGCAGUCGAGCGGAUGANAGGAGCUUGCUCCUGGAUUCAGCGGCGGACGGGUGAGUAAUGCCUAGGAAUCUGCCUGNUAGUGGGGGACAACGUUUCGAAAGGAACGCUAAUACCGCAUACGUCCUACGGGAGAAAGCAGGGGACCUUCGGGCCUUGCGCUAUCAGAUGAGCCUAGGUCGGAUUAGCUAGUUGGUGAGGUAAUGGCUCACCAAGGCGACGAUCCGUAACUGGUCUGAGAGGAUGAUCAGUCACACUGGAACUGAGACACGGUCCAGACUCCUACGGGAGGCAGCAGUGGGGAAUAUUGGACAAUGGGCGAAAGCCUGAUCCAGCCAUGCCGCGUGUGUGAAGAAGGUCUUCGGAUUGUAAAGCACUUUAAGUUGGGAGGAAGGGUUGUAGAUUAAUACUCUGCAAUUUUGACGUUACCGACAGAAUAAGCACCGGCUAACUCUGUGCCAGCAGCCGCGGUAAUACAGAGGGUGCAAGCGUUAAUCGGAAUUACUGGGCGUAAAGCGCGCGUAGGUGGUUUGUUAAGUUGGAUGUGAAAUCCCCGGGCUCAACCUGGGAACUGCAUCCAAAACUGGCAAGCUAGAGUAUGGUAGAGGGUGGUGGAAUAUC